rnacentral:rRNA from 1 species
GACGAACGCUGGCGGCGUGCUUAACACAUGCAAGUCGAACGGAAAGGCCCUGCUUUUGUGGGGUGCUCGAGUGGCGAACGGGUGAGUAACACGUGAGUAACCUGCCCUUGACUUUGGGAUAACUUCAGGAAACUGGGGCUAAUACCGGAUAGGAGCUCCUGCUGCAUGGUGGGGGUUGGAAAGUUUCGGCGGUUGGGGAUGGACUCGCGGCUUAUCAGCUUGUUGGUGGGGUAGUGGCUUACCAAGGCUUUGACGGGUAGCCGGCCUGAGGGGGUGACCGGCCACAUGGGGACUGGGAUACGGCCCAGACUCCCAGGGGGGGCAGCAGGGGGGAAUAUUGCCCAAGGGGCGGACGCCUGAUGAAGCAACCCCGCGGGCGGGAUGACGGCCUUCGGUUUGUAAACCGCUUUCGCCUGGGACGAAGCGUGAGUGACGGUAAUUGGUAAAGAAGCAGCGGCUGACUACGU